UUAAUCUACCUAUGCUCGGUUGUGUCGUCGAGCUUCUUCUCUUUAAGCUCGGUUUUGUCCCUAAAUGCUAUAUAUAUCCAGACCCAUCACAGUCUUCUCCUAUUUCAUGUCUUCAAUCGACAUCACUCUGUCCUCUGCUCCUUGUUGUUCAGAGUGGAACUGGUCUCAAACCCUAACUUUUCUCCAUAUCCUCUUUACAACUCUUCUUGUUUGUUUUCUCCUUUCUCUUUCCGUUCCCUUUAUAGCUCGGGUUUUCACACAGCAUGAGUAACAAGAAGAUGCUAUUAUUUGGGUCAUUCACAGAAGAUGAAACCAAGUCAUGGCUGCAAAAGCCAUCAUCUGAGAAUGAUGAAAAGCCCGUGGAAAAGAAAGAACUGCAAUUUGGUUCUUUGAGUUUUGCAACUGGAAUAACUUUCGGUGAUUUUAAUAGUGAAUCAAGCAGGCAACUAGGUUCUGCAAAUGGAAAAGCCAGUUUUCAGACUACAAAUCCACUUAAGAAGGAAAAGGAUGUGAAGAUUGCACAAAAAGUGCAUGAUUUGCUUGUGGUGCAGGGAAGUCCAAAACAAAAUGGAAGCUUUGGCAAUUUCACCCAUGGCGUUUCCCUUAUUAAUGGUGUGAAAGGCUUAAAAAUGAAGAGCAUAGAUUUGACUUCUUUGCACUUAUCCAAGAGGGAAGACAGUUCCAGAAAUCAAUCACAAAGCUCAAGCUUUGAUGUCCUUGAUUGUGAGGGUGUAAAUGAUGGGAAUUCUGGGGAUACUGACAAUGAUCCACUGGUACAUGUGAAGAGGGAGGACUUUCAGAAGCCAACUGAUGGGCCUGGUGCAGCAGUUAAAAGUUUACUACCUCGUGGUUUAAUUAACCAGGGGAAUUUAUGCUUUCUUAAUGCUUCUCUGCAGGCUCUCUUGUCCUGUUCCCCAUUCGUUCAGCUUCUGCAGGAUCUUAGAAUUCGCAACAUCCCAAAGGUUGGCUUUCCGACAUUAACCGCCUUUGCAGAGUUUGUUUCUAACUUUGACAUGCCAAGCAGUUCCAGCAUGAAAAAGGACAUUGCUAUUGUUGAGACUGGUAGGCCUUUUAGCCCAGCCAUGUUUGAAUGCGUUCUUAAAAAUUUUACUCCAGAUAUGCCAUAUAGCAUAUCAGGACGACCAAGGCAAGAGGAUGCUCAGGAGUUUUUGAGUUUCAUCAUGGAUCAAAUGCAUGAUGAAUUACUUGAAUUUGAAGGACAUUCUGCUAGUAUUAAUGGUGCCAAAUCUACUCUAGUAUCCUCAACAGAGGAUGACGAAUGGGAGACAGUUGGCCCAAAAAACAAAUCUGCAGUAACUAGAACGCAAAGCUUCAUUCCUUCAGAGCUAAGUGAUAUUUUUGGAGGACAGUUGAGAAGUGUUGUGAAAGCAAGAGGUAUCUGAGUUGUUAUCUUUUAAUAGCUGUGAUUGGAAGAAUGUAUGUUUUCAAUUCGAAGAAUCUAUAGGAUCGAUUUAGUAGAAAACAAAACUACCUAGAAUCAUGUGUGGAAUCCUAUUCACAUCCUGCAUCAACAGAUCUCUAGCCUCAUUCAGAGGAACUUGAGAAUUCCAAAUCCCUACUUCCACGUAUACUUCAUAAUUACUCAGAAUUAGCCAACCAGUGACGAAUCUGCUAUUUAGCUGUCCUUGCAAAACACGUUCACUAUUCAAUAUCUGCAUGCUAGUUCCUUGGGUAGAGUCAAAUUCACUAUUGUGGCAAUAGGGUGAAGAAAUCAAGUUUUGCUCAGUGCAAAGCUCAACCAACUAAAAAUCCACUUCAACAACCUGAUGGUUAUUCCCAAAACAACUGCAACCCACCAACAAAUAUAAAGCCUCCAACUCAACAAAGACCGAUGUGCAAACUCCAAUGUUUAGUGCAAAUUCACCAAACCAAAAUGUACCCUGCUUUCGUGAUAUCCUAUAAAUUCUGUACAAAUUAUAAUUAUAGGUUAUAGGGUCAGGACUCAGGAUCAACUUACAUGUAUAAGUUAUAGUAUUUUGCACAGUUCAUUUUUCCUAUGAUUCAUAUUUCUUGAAAUUGACUGGUAGAUUUUACUGCUCUGGUGAUGUAGAUCAUGGAUGCCAAAUAUAUGAAAAAGUUAUGGGACCUUGUAAAAAACUGUUUAACUUUUACACGAUAGAGUUGUGUUUGGUCAUGCUAUAUCUUUUCAUUUGUUUGACAGCUUAAUGACUAUCAUGCUAAGGAGUAAACUAGUAUUAGAAUAGAAGCAACAACUACGUCUAAGGGAAUUAAUUUUGAAGAAACGGCAAGCAUCAAAAUGCUGAGUCCGUCCUGGUUUAUAUUUUGUUGGGCUUGUAAUGUCCUGAAUGUUAAGUUUUCUCUCCCCGCCCCACCCCCCAAUCAGUAGGAGUGUAAUCCUGCAUUUAUCCAUUCCGUCACCCUUUUUUAUAGCUAGUAUUUUCCUUUUUUGUGGUGCAGGAAAUAAAGCUUCUGCAACUGUUCAACCAUUUCUAUUGCUUCACCUAGAUAUUUAUCCUGAAGCUGUUCAUACUAUUGAGGAUGCACUUCAUUUGUUCUCUGCACCAGAAAAUCUUGAAGGGUAUCGGACAUCGGCAAUUGGGAAGGCUGGUGCAGUGACUGCAAGAAAAUCUGUGAAGAUACAGACACUUUCUAAGAUAUUGAUUUUGCACUUGAUGCGUUUUAGUUAUGGAAGCCAAGGUAGCGCCAAGUUGCACAAGCCUGUGCACUUCCCUCUUGAAUUGGUACUGGGCCGGGAACUGCUUGUUUCUCCAUUGAAUGAGGUAAGUCACCUUUACCUCCUUUUCUUCUAUGCUAAUUGUUCAAUUUUUGGCUAAUAGAUGCAUUAUCUGGCUUAACUAAAUAUUACCUUUCUAUUAUUAAUCUCUUUUGAAUUGAUUGUGGGAAACAUGUAGAUAUUAUUUGCCUCCUUAGCUUGCUAAAUAUCAAGUUCUUUGAGCUUUACUAUGUUGGGGUUCUAGUUAUUCUGUAGUUGGUUUGGUUUUUUUGUGUUGGUUUGCUGUAUUAGUCUAGUUGUUGCUUUAUAUUGUGUGGCUAAAAAGUUUUGAUUCAUGAAUUUUGUUGGUUGAAAAUUUAAAUUGGCAUUUUCAUAUUAUUGUGGCAUACCAAGAGUUUUCUUUUUUUAAUGAUUUGACAAGAUAAUAGUAAUCAUUUCUUUACUUCAUCAUCAACUAUCAGGCAUCAGGUCUCUCAUGAGGCAUCUUGCAUCCCAAAAUUAAAUAAUUACAAAUGCUUUUUAUUUUCUUCUGGUGUUGCAUUUCAGAGCCGAAAAUAUGAACUUGUUGCUACGGUCACUCAUCAUGGGAGGGAGCCUUCAAAGGGUCAUUAUACUGCCGAUGCCCGCUAUCCCAAUGGCCAAUGGCUACAUUUUGAUGAUGCAUUUGUCACUGCAAUUGGGACAAGCAAGGUGUUGCAUGACCAGGCCUAUGUCCUUUUCUACAAACAAGUAUAGGAGGUGAUGGAUAAAGUAUUAAUGGAUAAGAUUAUUGAUCAGCAAGGAACUUUUCUGUCAGGGUUGAAAGGUGCAUUAACCGUCCUGCAUCAAGACCCCAGGGCCAGGGGCCAUGUAGAAUGUAAUAUUACCAACUAGUUCAAACUAAUCUCUUCCAUAUGAAUAAACCUUCUGAAAGUUUUGUCUCAAGGAAGUGGGGAAGCUUACUUUUCCUGUUUAAGCUUUACAUCUAGGAAUGCAAUUGAUCUGUAAUUUUCUAUUAUAAGCGCUAAAAUGCAUUGGAAGUUAUUGCUGUUUAAUUUAGAUGCUUGUUAUUGUGAAAAUAUUUAGAGUUAAGUAACAAUUUUGUUUUAUGGUCAAUGGAGACGAUAUAUUGAUGUUCAUAAGCCAUUCACUCUUCCCUUAUGAUGAACUGAUUAGGAUUUAU
rnacentral:misc_RNA from 1 species